AUUGAACGCUGGCGGCAGGCCUAACACAUGCAAGUCGAGCGGAUGAGGAAAGCUUGCUUUUCGAUUCAGCGGCGGACGGGUGAGUAAUGCCUAGGAAUCUGCCUGUUAGUGGGGGAUAACUCGGGGAAACUCGGGCUAGUACCGCAUACGUCCUACGGGAGCAAGUGGGGGAUCUUCGGACCUCACGCUAACAGAUGAGCCUAGGUCGGAUUAGCUAGUAGGUGAGGUAAUGGCUCACCUAGGCGACGAUCCGUAACUAGUCUGAGAGGAUGAUCAGUCACACUGGAACUGAGACACGGUCCAGACUCCUACGGGAGGCAGCAGUGGGGAAUAUUGGACAAUGGGCGAAAGCCUGAUCCAGCCAUGCCGCGUGUGUGAAGAAGGUCUUCGGAUUGUAAAGCACUUUAAGUUGGGAGGAAGGGUAUUCACCUAAUACGUGGGUACUUUGACGUUACCAACAGAAUAAGCACCGGCUAACUACGUGCCAGCCGCCGCAGUAAUAC
rnacentral:rRNA from 1 species